GAUGAUACCAAAUGGCUGCCUUCUUCAGACUCCCUGAUGAACACCGUCUGCUUUGUGAUGUGUAAAGAAGCUUGGCAGCCACAUUUAGCUCAACAGCAAGCUUUUGCCACUUUGUGUCGUCACAUAAAAUCUUGUCAAAUAAUAUUUAAUUUUUAAUCUGCAGUCAGAAACACAAGGUUAGUCAUGAAAAUAUUCUGGGUAAGUCCCUUUGGAACAAGAAACUGUGUGUUUGGACUUAAGUAAAAGUAAUAAUUAAGUUUCUGGGUCGUUUUGGCGCUGGAGAUCUGUUGCCCUAGUCUCUCUUCAACGUCUUUUGCCUGUUUGUUUGUUGUCUUCUUGUCUAAGUUACUUUCAUCCUUAAGAAUUGUUUUAAAAUAAUUUUUUUAAAAAAAAAUAUGAGUUAUCUGAUUAUCCAUCACUUUUAAAGUCUAAAGACAAACUCAUUACUUGCACUGAGUCUGCUCAUAUGGCCACAAUAAUUUUCUAAGUGGCUAGAGAUCCAUGGUUUUUUUUGUUGUUGUUAUUGUUUUUUUGUUUGUUUGUUUUCUGGAAUGUUCACUCCCUUAAAGUGGUUUUAGACUUACUUUUAAGCCUUGGAGAUAAAAAUCUAUUUUCAAACAGGCCAUAGACUUUGCAUCAGAAAUUAUAGUUUGUCUAAAUUAUAUGUGUAAGCUGGACUCCUAGAAGUUUGUCGUUAGUGAUCCCGAAUAGAAAGAAACGUGUUAUUGUAAGGAGGGGUUAGAAGGAGGCUAUUUUAUAAUAAGGUAGCAAAUCCCAUAAUCCUUUGUGUCUAUUGACACCUGAAUUCAACGGGAACAAGGGUGGUUUCAUAUGGAAUCAUUCAAGGGAAAAAAAAAACAUAUUUGAAAGGGAUUUCUGAGAUGUGAUAUAUAGGCACAGGGAGGAAGACACCUCAGUGUGCCUCUCUCUGCUUCCACAAACGACUCAGAGGUGGGUGACUAUAGAGGCUGGACUCUUGUUUGUCUUGAAAGGAUUUCUGCUCUCUAUUUUAUCGACAACUGUGUUUUACACAUCUGUUAUUCCAUUGCCUCUCUACUGGAGCCUGGCUUCUGCCAUUGAAGAAGAGUUGUUUUGAGGCUGGUUCCGUUGAUCCUAUUUGUUCCUGUACUUGUUCCUGCCAAUCAACCCAAGACUCUUGGUAUCCCUUGAGAGGUGCUGGCAGAUCACUAAGACAGAACCACCCCAGUAAGGAGCUCACAAACACACGGAUGUACUGCCUGUAAUUUAGAAGUUCAAUCUGGUUUCACCAAUGUACAAAGUGGUUUGCUCUCUGGUCAUCUGAGGACAAUAGAUCAGUUUUGGCAAGAACACUAUGCUCUAGGUAUGUUAAAGUCUUGUGAUACCUGAAAGGGGGGCAUUAUAACUUUAGUGACAAAUUGAUAUAUUAAGUUGAAUUUGCAGUAAGCAGCACUGUGUGUGUGUGUGUGUGUGUGGGUGGGUGUGUUUG
rnacentral:lncRNA from 1 species